GCUUCCUCCAAGCUGUGUCACAUCUAUUGCAGAAUGAGGUUUGAGGAUGUUCUUACAGAAGUGGGUGUUUUUGGAAAAUUCCAGAUAAUAUCUCUUUUAAUUCUCUGCCUUCCCCGAGUUAUCCUCCCCCUGCACUUUCUUCUUCACAUCUUUAUCUCAGCUGUGCCUCCCCAUCACUGUGCCAUUACCCCAGGAGGACAAAUAGGAAACCUGAGCCACGAGGAUCUUCAUAUUUACAUCCCUACAGAGGAUGAUGGAAGCACCAGCUCCUGUGAAAUGUAUUCACACCCGCAGUUCAGCAACACAUCCAAGGAAACAGCGAACAGUUUUACAGUGAAGAAAUGUCAGCAUGGGUGGGAGUACCUCCGUUCAACAUUCACCUCUACCACCGUCACUGAG